UACGUAGGGAGCAAGCGUUGUCCGGAAUCAUUGGGCGUAAAGCGCGCGUAGGUGGCCUCAUAAGUCCGUUGUGAAAGUCAAAGGCUCAACCUUUGAAAGCCGGAUGGAUACUGUGAGGCUAGAGUCCGGAAGAGGCGAGUGGAAUUCCUGGUGGUAGCGGUGGAAUGCGCAGAUAUCAGGAGGAACACCAAUAGCGAAGGCAGCUCGCUGGGACGGUACUGACACUGAGGCGCGAAAGCGUGGGGAGCGAACAGG
rnacentral:rRNA from 1 species